AAAGUCCCUAUACUACUCAAUAAUUAUUUUGCCUGAAAAUAUGUGGAGGAGGAGGGGAUUAAUAAAGAUAAAAAUCUCUUAAUUGAAUAUAAACAAUUUAACUGUUCAAGAAUUCCCCAAGUAAAUUUUAUCUACAUAGUGUGGGUUAAAUGUGGGGGGAAAAGGGAUGGUAGAUGCAAAAUGCAGUUAUUUGCUUCAAAAAUCUAUCUGUGUGAGUAGCUCCAAUGUAUAAAAGAUCAAAUGAAGAAAGUUUUACCGGCUUGUUUCCAAUGCCUCCGACUUAUCUGGGUGGAUCUUCCCCUCUGACUCAUUCUGGAACAGUCCUCCAUAAGUCAAGGAGACAGUUUACAAGCUGGGGAGGUUUCCCUUCAUAACGGCUGAGGGAACUUAUUCUCUCCACAACCACGGUUCAAUGUGUCAGGUACUGACAUAAGGAAAGAAUGUCUCUGACCUAAGGAAUUCAUAAUCUAAUAGGGGAGACGGACAAAUAAAUAGGUAAGUUUAAAAAUGUCAAGUUCCCUGUCAAGGUAGAAAAGUAUAGGGUGUCUUGGAGCACAGAAGAGGGUGUCCAGAAAGGCAAAUGCAGAUCAGAUACAGAAGCAAGGCGUUGGGGUCCAAAAUGCCCAGGUGGAUGUCCUGGUCGGAUCUCCAGAGUCCUACAGAGGACUUCCUCCACACAGGGCGGGUCAGUUUCAACCCAUGGGAAUGAAAGGGGGGGAAAACAUGGAGAGCAGCUUCCAGCGCAGGGGGAGGAAAACAUUCCCCAAGGAAAUACUAGAUUCCUGAAAUAUGUCCAGCCCUUGUGGAAAAGAUGUAGUUCGGGCUGCAAUUCGAGCAAACUUCGGAGAAGCUUCAAAAGCUCCGACUUGGCAAUUCAACUCAAAGCGCUCUUCCAAGCUCUUCCUAUUCAACUGCAACUUCUAAGGCAAAGUCAUUGUUUACAGCCUGGCGGAGUUGGAAGAGUCUCCAAAAACACAACUUGCCGUGACAGUUGGAGUUUAUAACCACCCUCGGACUUUAAUGACAGUCUGAUUCAGCAAAUAGCUACCGAGGGUCUACUUGUUUCCAGUCACUGGGGAUUUAAUGGCAAAAUAACCCUCAAGAAGCUUAUUGUCUAGUGGAAAAGACCAACAGGUAAACGGGCAGUGGGAAGUGCUGUGAGGGUGGAAUUGCUGGGUGUUGGACAGGUAGAGGGGGCUGUGGAGGAAGAGCACGUUGCAGCUAGUUAGAGAGGUAGGAUGAGAGCAAGGACAGGGAGAAG
rnacentral:lncRNA from 1 species